rnacentral:rRNA from 1 species
ACGGAAGGCAGCAGUGGGGAAUAUUGCACAAUGGGGGAAACCCUGAUGCAGCAACGCCGCGUGAGUGAAGAAGUAUUUCGGUAUGUAAAGCUCUAUCAGCAGGGAAGAUAAUGACGGUACCUGACUAAGAAGCCCCGGCUAACUACGUGCCAGCAGCCGCGGUAAUACGUAGGGGGCAAGCGUUAUCCGGAUUUACUGGGUGUAAAGGGAGCGCAGGCGGUAACGCAAGCCAGAGGUGAAAACCCGGGGCUCAACCCCGAGGAUUGCCUUUGAAACUGUGGAGCUGGAGUGCUGGAGGGGCAGGCGGAAUUCCUGGUGUAGCGGUGAAAUGCGUAGAUAUCAGGAGGAACAUCGGUGACGAAGGCGGCCUGCUGGACAGUAACUGACGCUGAGGCUCGAAAGCGUGGGGAGCAAACAGGAUUAGAUACCCUGGUA